GUUCCUUCAAAGACAUCCGAUAAAAUUGAAACAAUAUAGAGAAGAUCAGCAUGAGCCCUAUGCAAGGAUGACAUGCACAAAUCGAAAAAAGAAUUUUUUU
rfam:Medicago truncatula strain A17 chromosome 1, whole genome shotgun sequence.